rnacentral:rRNA from 1 species
GAAUCCGCCAAGGAGUGUGUAACAACUCACCUGCCGAAUGAAUUAGCCCUGAAAAUGGAUGACGCUGAAGCGGGCAGCCGACACCACGUCGUCUGAUCAAAGUGGCUUUAUCAGAUGAGUAGGAGGGCGUGGCGGUUGUAUGGAAGCGUUGGUGCGAACCAGCGUGAAACGGCCGCUAGUGCAGAUCUUGGUGGUAGUAGCAAAUAUUCAAGUGAGAUCCUUGAAGGACGAAGCGGGGAAGGGUUCCACGCGAACAUUGAUUGAGCGUGGGUGAGUCGUUCCUAAGCCGAGUGGUUAUUGCUAAUUACCGGCGAAAGGGAAGCAGGUUGACAUUCCUGCACACGGAUGUGGAGGCGGUGACGCCGUAUUGUGCUGAUGACGUUGGCGGUGGCUCUGGGCAGAGUUGUCUUUUCUGUUUAACCGUCAGUGUGUGCUCUGUGGAAUCCGCUUGUCGGGAGAAACAGGCAUGCACGGGCAUAGCGCCGGGGCUUUUCCGGCGUCCAGAUCGCCACCGACGACCCUUGAAAAAUCAGUUGCUGGGCAUGAACUUGUUUUGUGCAAAAUCCACGCCGUGGCGUACCGAUAACCGCAUCAGGUCCCCAAGGUGAACAGCCUCUGUCCGAUAUGAUUAAUGCAGGUAAGGGAAGUCGGCA